GAUUACUACCACUGGCCCCCAGGACAUCCUCGUCUACUCCGUGCAGUUUCUGACCAGGAUGUCUCUGUGUUUGCAGUUGUCCAGUGUGAGGUGCAGCUGGUGGAGUCUGGGGGAGGCUUGGUCCAGCCUGGGGGGUCCCUGAGACUCUCCUGUGCGGCCUCUGGAUUCACCUUCAGCAGCUAUGGCAUGCACUGGGUCCGCCAGGCUCCAGGGAAGGGUCUGGAGUGGGUCUCACUCAUUAGUUAUAAUGGGGGUAGCACAUACUACGCAGACUCCGUGAAGGGCCGAUUCACCAUCUCCAGAGACAACGCCAAGAACUCGCUGUAUCUGCAGAUGAGCAGCCUGAGAGCCGAGGACACGGCCGUGUAUUACUGUGCGAGACACAGUGAGGGGAGGCCCGUGUGGAUCUCUGCUCCUCAGAGGUGGCCUUGGUCUUCAAGUUUCAGCAACUCUGGGAAACCAAGGACAGCUCCAUCCUUUACUCCCUGCUCUGCAACUCACCUGAGAAUGGCUUUCUCAUUGGAAUGUCUCAUGUUUAAAAAAUAA